AUGGGGAUGGGGCGUUGUCAGAAGCGGAAGCUCAGGCCCUCCUCAGUGGGGACACACAGACAGACGCCACCUCUUUCUACGACCGCGUCUGGGCUGCCAUCAGGGACAAGUACCGGUCCGAGGCACUGCCCACCGACCUUCCAGCACCUUCUGCCCCUGACUUGACGGAGCCCAAGGAGGAGCAGCCACCAGUGCCCUCGCCGCCUACAGAGGAGGAGGAGGAGGAGGAGGAAGAAGAGGAGGCUGAAGAAGAGGAGGAGGAGGAGGAUUCCGAGGUGCAGGGGGAGCAGCCCAAGCCGGCCAGCCCUGCCGAGGAAGACAAAAUGCCGCCCUACGACGAGCAGACACAGGCCUUCAUCGAUGGUGAGGGUGGGCGGGGGCCAGGCUCCUCUGGUGGGCCCAGCGUUUCCUGCCGUGGUGGCACAGGUCGGGGGAAGAUCCUGAACUUAGCCCCUGCUCUGACUCGGCCAGCACAAGCCCCAGUAUCUUGAGUCCAGGAAGGGGGUCUAGGGUAAGCCAGUCCCACCCUCGCCAGCCCCAAGGGGCUGUUCUGCCUCCCCAAAGGCCUCAGCUUGUUUGUGUUACUCCU
rnacentral:sRNA from 1 species